GGGGAAUUUUGCGCAAUGGGGGAAACCCUGACGCAGCAACGCCGCGUGGAGGAUGAAGUAUCUUGGUACGUAAACUCCUUUCGACCGGGACGAUAAUGACGGUACCGGAAGAAGAAGCCCCGGCUAACUUCGUGCCAGCAGCCGCGGUAAUACGAGGGGGGCAAGCGUUGUUCGGAAUUAUUGGGCGUAAAGGGUGCGUAGGCGGUUUGAUAAGUCAUCUGUGAAAUCUAUGGGCUCAACCCAUAGUCUGCAGGCGAAACUGUCGGGCUUGAGUAGUGGAGAGGUGAGUGGAAUUUCCGGUGUAGCGGUGAAAUGCGUAGAUAUCGGAAGGAACACCUGUGGCGAAAGCGGCUCACUGGACACUAACUGACGAUGAGGCACGAAAGCUAGGGGAGCAAACA
rnacentral:rRNA from 1 species